GUGAGGAAUAUUGCGCAAUGGAGGCAACUCUGACGCAGCCAUGCCGCGUGCAGGAAGAAGGCGCUACGCGUUGUAAACUGCUUUUAACCGGGAAGAAACCCCAGGACGUGUCCUGGGUUGACGGUACCGGAGGAAUAAGCACCGGCUAACUUCGUGCCAGCAGCCGCGGUAAUACGAAGGGUGCAAGCGUUAUCCGGAUUCAUUGGGUUUAAAGGGUGCGUAGGCGGAGCGUUAAGUCAGUGGUGAAAUCCUGCAGCUUAACUGUAGACUUGCCAGUGAUACUUGCGCGCUUGAGUGCGCUUGAAGUGGGCGGAAUGUGCCGUGUAGCGGGGAAAUGCUUAGAUAUGGCACAGAACACCAAUUGCGAAGGCAGCUCACUAAGGCGAUACUGACGCUGAGGCACGAAAGCGUGGGGAUCGAACAGGAUUAGAAACCCGAGUAGUCC
rnacentral:rRNA from 1 species